GUUGUAUUCAGCAUUUCACUGUAAGGUUUACUACACCUGUUGUAUUCAGCAUUUCACUGUAAGGUCUACUACACCUGUUGUAUUCAGCAUUUCACUGUAAGGUCUACUACACCUGUUGUAUUCAGCAUUUCACUGUAAGGUUUACUACACCUGUUGUAUUCAGCAUUUCACUGUAAGGUCUACUACACCUGUUGUAUUCAGCAUUUCACUGUAAGGUCUACUACACCUGUUGUAUUCAGCAUUUCACUGUAAGGUUUACUACACCUGUUGUAUUCAGCAUUUCACUGUAAGGUCUACUACACCUGUUGUAUUCAGCAUUUCACUGUAAGGUCUACUACACCUGUUGUAUUCAGCAUUUCACUGUAAGGUUUACUACACCUGUUGUAUUCAGCAUUUCACUGUAAGGUCUACUACACCUGUUGUAUUCAGCAUUUCACUGUAAGGUCUACUACACCUGUUGUAUUCAGCAUUUCAC